rnacentral:rRNA from 1 species
AGGGCGCACGGUGGAUGCCUUGGCACCAGGAACCGAUGAAGGACGUGGGAGGCCACGAUAGUCCCCGGGGAGUCGUCAACCAGGCUUUGAUCCGGGGGUUUCCGAAUGGGGAAACCCGGCAGUCGUCAUGGGCUGUCACCCAUACCUGAACACAUAGGGUAUGUGGAGGGAACGCGGGGAAGUGAAACAUCUCAGUACCCGCAGGAAGAGAAAACAACCGUGAUUCCGGGAGUAGUGGCGAGCGAAACCGGAUGAGGCCAAACCGUAUGCGUGUGAGACCCGGCAGGGGUUGCGUAUACGGGGUUGUGGGAUCUCUCUUUCACAGUCUGCCGGCUGUGAGACGAGUCAGAAACCGUUGAUGUAGGCGAAGGACAUGCGAAAGGUCCGGCGUAGAGGGUAAGACCCCCGUAGCCGAAACGUCAGCGGCUCGUUUGAGAGACACCCAAGUAGCACGGGGCCCGAGAAAUCCCGUGUGAAUCUGGCGGGACCACCCGCUAAGCCUAAAUAUUCCCUGGUGACCGAUAGCGGAUAGUACCGUGAGGGAAUGGUGAAAAGUACCGCGGGAGCGGAGUGAAAUAGUACCUGAAACCGUGUGCCUACAAGCCGUGGGAGCGUCGCGCAUCGAGUUUACUCGGUGCGUCGUGACUGCGUGCCUUUUGAAGAAUGAGCCUGCGAGUUUGCGGUGUGUUGCGAGGUUAACCCGGGUGGGGUAGCCGUAGCGAAAGCGAGUCCGAACAGGGCGAUUUUAGUAGCACGCUCAAGACCCGAAGCGGAGUGAUCUAGCCAUGGGCAGGUUGAAGCGGAGGUAAGACUUCGUGGAGGACCGAACCCACCAGGGUUGAAAACCUGGGGGAUGACCUGUGGUUAGGGGUGAAAGGCCAAUCAAACUCCGUGAUAGCUGGUUCUCCCCGAAAUGCAUUUAGGUGCAGCGUCGUGUGUUUCUUGCCGGAGGUAGAGCACUGGAUAGGCGAUGGGCCCUACCGGGUUACUGACCUUAGCCAAACUCCGAAUGCCGGUAAGUGAGAGCGCGGCAGUGAGACUGUGGGGGAUAAGCUCCAUGGUCGAGAGGGAAACAGCCCAGAGCAUCGACUAAGGCCCCUAAGCGUACGCUAAGUGGGAAAGGAUGUGGAGUCGCAGAGACAACCAGGAGGUUGGCUUAGAAGCAGCCACCCUUGAAAGAGUGCGUAAUAGCUCACUGGUCUAGUGAUUCCGCGCCGACAAUGUAGCGGGGCUCAAGCGUACCGCCGAAGUCGUGUCAUUGCGAUAUGUACCCCCAACGGGGAUCGUGAUGGGUAGGGGAGCGUCGUGUGCCGGGUGAAGCCGCGCCGGAAGGCAGUGGUGGACGGUUCACGAGUGAGAAUGCAGGCAUGAGUAGCGAUACAAACGUGAGAAACGUUUGCGCCGAUUGACCAAGGGUUCCUGGGUCAAGCUGAUCUGCCCAGGGUAAGUCGGGACCUAAGGCGAGGCCGACAGGCGUAGUCGAUGGAUAACCGGUUGAUAUUCCGGUACCCGCUGUGAAGCGUCAAACACUGAACCAGGCGAUGCUAAGUCCGUGAAGCCGCCCCGGAGCCUUCGGGCAAAGGGGAGUGGUGGAGCCGACGGACCAGACUUGCAGUAGGUGAGUGAUGGGGUGACGCAGGAAGGUAGUCCAUCCCGGGCGGUGGUUGUCCCGGGGUAAGGGUGUAGGCCGUGCGACAGGUAAAUCCGUCGUACUUGUGGCUGAGACCUGAUGCCGAGCCGAUUGUGGUGAAGUGGAUGAUCCUAUGCUGUCGAGAAAAGCCUCUAGCGAGUUUCAUGGCGGCCCGUACCCUAAACCGACUCAGGUGGUCAGGUAGAGAAUACCGAGGCGUUCGGGUGAACUAUGGUUAAGGAACUCGGCAAAAUGCCCCCGUAACUUCGGGAGAAGGGGGGCCACGCUCGGUGAUCCGAUUUACUCGGUGAGCUGGGGGUGGCCGCAGAGACCAGCGAGAAGCGACUGUUUACUAAAAACACAGGUCCGUGCGAAGCCGUAAGGCGAUGUAUACGGACUGACGCCUGCCCGGUGCUGGAACGUUAAGGGGACCGGUUAGUCACAUUUCGGUGUGGCGAAGCUGAGAACUUAAGCGCCAGUAAACGGCGGUGGUAACUAUAACCAUCCUAAGGUAGCGAAAUUCCUUGUCGGGUAAGUUCCGACCUGCACGAAUGGCGUAACGACUUCUCGACUGUCUCAACCAUAGGCCCGGUGAAAUUGCACUACGAGUAAAGAUGCUCGUUUCGCGCAGCAGGACGGAAAGACCCCGGGACCUUUACUACAGUUUGAUAUUGGUGUUCGGUUCGGCUUGUGUAGGAUAGCUGGGAGACUGUGAAGCUCGGACGCCAGUUCGGGUGGAGUCGUCGUUGAAAUACCAGUCUGGUCGUGCUGGAUGUCUAACCCGGGUCCGUGAUCCGGAUCGGGGACAGUGUCUGAUGGGUAGUUUAACUGGGGCGGUUGCCUCCCAAAGGGUAACGGAGGCGCCCAAAGGUUCCCUCAGCCUGGUUGGCAAUCAGGUGGUGAGUGUAAGUGCACAAGGGAGCUUGACUGUGAGACCGACGGGUCGAGCAGGGACGAAAGUCGGGACUAGUGAUCCGGCGGUGGCUUGUGGAAGCGCCGUCGCUCAACGGAUAAAAGGUACCCCGGGGAUAACAGGCUGAUCUUCCCCAAGAGUCCAUAUCGACGGGAUGGUUUGGCACCUCGAUGUCGGCUCGUCGCAUCCUGGGGCUGGAGUCGGUCCCAAGGGUUGGGCUGUUCGCCCAUUAAAGCGGUACGCGAGCUGGGUUUAGAACGUCGUGAGACAGUUCGGUCCCUAUCCGCUGCGCGCGCAGGAAUAUUGAGAAGGGCUGUCCCUAGUACGAGAGGACCGGGACGGACGAACCUCU